GUAGGUGGCAAGCGUUGUCCGGAAUUAUUGGGCGUAAAGCGCGCGCAGGCGGUCCUUUAAGUCUGAUGUGAAAGCCCACGGCUCAACCGUGGAGGGUCAUUGGAAACUGGGGGACUUGAGUACAGAAGAGGAAAGCGGAAUUCCAAGUGUAGCGGUGAAAUGCGUAGAGAUUUAGAGGAACACCAGUGGCGAAGGCGGCUUUCUGGUCUGUAACUGACGCUGAGGCGCGAAAGCGUGGGGAGCAAACAGGGAUUAGAUACCCUGGUAGUCCACGCCGUAAACGAUGAGUGCUAAGUGUUAGGGGGUUUCCCGCCCCUUAGUGCUGCAGCUAACGCAUUAAGCACUCCGCCUGGGGAGUACGGCCGCAAGGCUG
rnacentral:rRNA from 1 species